AUUGCACGCUGGCGGCAGGCCUAACACAUGCAAGUCGAACGAGUGGCGGACGGGUGAGUAAUGUCUGGGAAACUGCCUGAUGGAGGGGGAUAACUACUGGAAACGGUAGCUAAUACCGCAUACCAUCAGCAGUGCCCAGCUGGGAUUAGCUCGUUUGUGGGGUAACGGCUCACCCAGGCGACGAUCCCUAGCUGGUCUGAGAGGAGGACCAGCCAACCGGGAACUUAGACCCGGUCCAGACUCCUACGGGAGGCAGCAGUGGUGAAUAUUUCACAAUGGGCGCAAGCCUGAUGCAGCCAUGCCGCGUGUAUGAAGAAGGCCUUCGGGUUGUAAAGUACUUUCAGCGGGGAGGCGUUACCCGCAGAAGAAGCACCGGCUAACUCCGUGCCAGCAGCCGCGGUAAUAC
rnacentral:rRNA from 1 species